GACGAACGCUGGCGGCGCGCUUAACACAUGCAAGUCGAACGGAAAGGCCUGCUUUCCCUUGUGGAUUGCGGGUGCUCGAGUGGCGAACGGGUGAGUAACACGUGAGUGAUCUGCCCCCAACUUGGGUAUAAGCCUGGGAAACUGGGUCUAAUUCCCGAUAGGACUGCAGGGUGGUGCCUGUGGUGGAAAACGAUUUUCUAGUGGUUGGGGAUGAGCUCGCGGCCUAUCAGCUUGUUGGUGGGGUAAUGGCCUACCAAGGCGGCGACGGGUAGCCGGCCUGGGAGGGUGGACGGCCACAUUGGGACUGAGAUACGGCCCAGACGCCUACGGGAGGAAGCAGGGGGGAAUAUUGCACAAUGGGCGGAAGCUGGAUGCAGCGACGCAGCGUGGGGGAUGACGGCCUUCGGGUUGUAAACUCCUUUCGACCGAGAGGAAGCCACCUGGUUGGAAGGGUGGUGACGGUAGUGGUAGAAGAAGCACCGGCUAACUACGUG
rnacentral:rRNA from 1 species